UUAUUUAUUAUUAUUAUUAUUAUUAUUAUUAUUAUUAUUCCUCAGGUAUUUGCUUCUUUUUUGGGUUACCUUUGUAUUAUGAGAUUCUGAGACCUGCAGAUCUAGGAUGGUGUAAGAGGGCUUUAUGUUUGAGCACUGAUGCUAUAAUAAAGAACUAUUACCUAGUUUCCAAGCAUAUUUUGCUCACGAACUUCUAUUGGGUAAAUAUUGAAAAAAAAUAAACAAGUCAUUCAAGUCAAUCGGAGGUCAAAUAUGAUAGAAAAGAAGCGUUAAAGUUCACAUGGACGUCGUGGGAGGCCACCUGCGCACAAGGAUGACCAAAAUGGACCAACAAGUGGCAUCUGUGCCCAAGGUGUGUCGUGUAUGCCAUGGAUCUACUCAAGCAGAUAAAGAGUACGACGACAUUUUGAUAAUAUCUGGAAAACGUGAAAUUGGGGUCAAAAGGGAGUUUUCAUCUCAUUUCCACCAUUAUUGAACCAUUAUUGUACUUUUCUUGAGCUAAGAAAUGUUGGAGAAACUCUCAAGUGAUGAAUUAGUAUUUUUUAUUGAAUAUUUAUUCAAAUUAAAGCUUGGAUAUUGUAUUCUCUUCACUUUUUAUGGAUCAAUUUGAAGGAAAUCAGGAUAUA